UACGAAGGGGGCGAGCGUUGUUCGGAUUUACUGGGCGUAAAGGGCGCGCAGGCGGUCUUGAAAGUCAGGCGUGAAAGCCCCGGGCUUAACCUGGGAAUUGCGCUUGAUACUCUGAGACUGGAGUACGGGAGAGGAGAGUGGAAUUCCCAGUGUAGAGGUGAAAUUCGUAGAUAUUGGGAAGAACACCGGUGGCGAAGGCGGCUCACUGGCUCGUAACUGACGCUCAUGCACGACAGCGUGGGGAUCAAACAGG
rnacentral:rRNA from 1 species